GAAUUCUCACGAUUUUCACUGAGAUCCGGCAAUUUAACCCCCGUCCGCCGCUCACCUUCGUCGACGCCGUCGAGGAUCAGCACCCGAUCGAGCGUCCGCCGCGAUUUGGCCUCGGUCUAGGGUUCGACUCCGACUCCCUCCGCGACCGCACCAAGGACGUGCUCAGCGUUGUUGUGGCGCUGCUCUUCGGCGUCGGCUGUGGCGCUCUCACCGCCGCAACCAUGUACUUGGGUUGGUCGCUCUUCUCCAACCGCCACCGCUACUCCGACUUCGAUUACGAUGACUUUGAGGAUGAUGACGUUGACAUGAGCCCUAAGAAGGUGGGCUAUGUGAGGAUCCCUCCUCCUGCUGAUGCCUCUACUCCCGUGGCAAAAGAGGCGGUAUGAGGCACAGAAAAAUUAGGGUUUUAAUGCUUAAUGCCUAGUGUUUUGCGUUUCUGAACCAGGUGCUAUUUGCUAUGUUAUUAUGAAUUAUAUUGCUAAAAAUGUGGGUACUUAUAUGGUUUUGUGUUUCUCAAUCACAUCUAUAACUAUGCUUUGUGUAUAUUUAUCAUCUAAUACAUUGAAUGCUUGUUUUAUUUAAUUUUUUUCUUUCGCUUGGGCUUCGAUUAUUUGGAAGGAAAAAUUGUUCUCUGACAUAUGUUCGAUUAAUCUUCUUUUUUUUUUUGUAUGAGAAGCUUUUUGGUUGAAACAAAUGGGGCCUUGGUCUGGUUUCUUUUAUUUAAUUGCAGGUUGUAUACCUUAAGGUUGAUGGUGCGGUGAUUUUGUAGUUUUCCUAAAGUUGAUGAUUGCGUAAUUUUGCCCUUUUGUCGGAGUUUGUUGUAGUAGAUGAUGUUGUGAUUUUGUAGUUUUGCACGAAUGAUCGACUACUUUUUUCCAUUAUCUUUAUGUGUUGUGACCAAAUUUUUAACAUGCUUGAUUUUCAGCAAGUGUUUGUGAAAAUAGCAAGAUUUUGGCCAUAGGCUGUUUCAGGGAAGGGGAUUGCAUUUUCAUUUUAGUUUUCAUUCUUUUGCUUUACUCCCUUUAGCAGGUGAAGUAGUGACCAUGCGUCCUUUUGUUUUCCAUAAUGAGAUUGACUUGUAUUGAGAUAUAGCUAUUGGAUAUAUAUUUUUCGGGCACUUAAUAAUAUUAUGUUCAAUCUAUUGAUGAAAUUUAGUAAUAUAUAUAUAUAUAUAUAUAUACAUAUAUAUCUCAUAUGGAAAAUUGACACGACAUUGUCUUGUCAACACUUAUUGAUGGAACUGUUUUUCACUAAAAAAUUCCCGAGGCUGUACUCAUUUUUCUGGAGCUGCAACCACUCUCCAACUAUCAAAUGCCUCUUUCAGCUUCGAUUUAGAACUUAACUUUCUAAUAAGAGAUUUUUGUUGCAUAGAAACUUAAGGAUGGAUUCCUUAUGUUGCAUGAGCAUUCAAGGCAGAUCUUCAAAUCAACUUGGCUAUCAUUUUUCAAUUAUUUUUUUUAUGCUUUAUUUUACUUUUUAAAGAAAUUAUAUUAAUUUCCUUGUCUUUAUGUGGUAUAAAUGACCAGGAUUAUAAAAGAUUGAUAUAUUUUUAGUAAUGAGGAGCCUACAUUAUAUAUUAACAUAGGCUUCGAAUUGAAUUAAAGGCCUUUCUAGAAUCAGGGGUAGGAUUAUGUAUGGGAUAGUGUUCUUUCUAGGAAGAUUACUGUUCUUUCUAUUUUAGUUUUUUUUUUCUUUGGGGGGUUGGUUUGGUCGAGUAUUCUUCUGGUUUUGUACUUGUUUUCCUUCUUUGCAUCACCUCUAGUAGUCUUGUAUCUUGCAAUAGCAUCCCAAAUUCACAAUUACAUGUUUGGUGAUUUUCAUGUGGCUUUGCAUGUGUGGUUCCUAGUAGGAACAUUAGAAGGAAAGUGGCCAAUCUUUUUGACAGACCUGGUAAUACUGUAAUGAAGAGAAACAAAUAGAAAGGAGUAAAAGGAAAUCAACAAACACCUUGGUGUCAAUGUAACAUAGUAACUUUCCAUGACCAUACAGUAAAUCCGGUAAUCUUUCGGGGGUUUUAGCAUGUCCAUGAACUGUCUUAAAAUUCUAGAGUGGGACUUCCAGUUCAAGAUAAUGGCAAAAGUAACAGAAUGAUGUUAAGUGAAGUACUAACUGACUUGGAACUUCAUUGUCGUGGCUCCCUAAUUAUUAGGGAGCAGGUCUUAUAGUUUUUACAGUGGAGGUUAUUAUGCUUGGGAAAGGUUUCUCUAUCAUCCAAUAGUCAAUAAGGCCUGUUUUCUUAAUAGUUAAAGUGAUGUUGAGGGAGUCCUAGAGGCAUUUGAGCUAAAGAUUGGAGAUCAUGAUCUGUUGUACAAGAUGUUUGGAAGAUGCUCAAAGAACUGAUUCAGAGAUCAGGAUAUUUCAGACCUGUCCAGAAGGCAAUAUGGUUGCAUAUUUGAAGCCAAAUUAGGCACAGCUAGCUUAGGAAUUUUAUUUGGGCUUGCGGCUUUCCAAGUGGGGUCAUUCUGCAUCUUGCCCAUGAUCUUUUAGGCUGGGCGUUUCCCCAUUCUUUUUCUGUUUGUGAUGGGAUCUGUGAAAUGGUAUUUUAUGAAAGAAGAAAAUGCGACAAGCACAUAAUGAAGCUUUGUCUUAAAAAUUCUUUGAAAUUUUUAAGGGAACCUUUGAGGCAUGGAAAUAAUUAGCUGCAGAAGGUUUCUAUGGGAUUUACAGUCACAGAAGAAUGCAUUGAAAGUAUGUUCCAUCACUCAAAUGUUUGUCAUGCUGCUUGUAAUUCUAUUUCAGCCAGGAUUCUAUUGACUAUGCAGUAAAUACAUCAUUAUGCUCCGGUUGUUGGUGCUAGAAUUCCUUAUGGGGUUUGUCCAUUCAAAUUAGAUGUUGAGAUUUUUCCUUAUAAGAGAUAUCACUGUUUUGGCACAUUCAUUAGUUUGAGGUGAUUUUGACCUUUUAAUUAAUUGUAUUUUGGGAGUGCUUCUGAUGUCAAUGCAAUUAGUGGUUUUUGAUUAUCCUGAACUUGAUAAGGAGUUGUUUACCUGUAAUUUUGCUCGAACUGUUGCUUACACCAGUUGUUCAGGGUUAAACCAGCUUUGUUUCAGUAUUUUGCUUCAUUUAGGGCCUAAAUGUAUGCCAUACCAUACAUGGGUACUUUUAGGGUAAUGCUGACAAGGAGUUAACUAAAGGCUUCACUAGUUAUUAGCCUAAUAGAAACCUUUUCCUGUGUUGCUGUUGUUUAUCUACUCUAUUAGAGAUUGGAAUCUUUACAAUCUGUCUGCUCUGUGCUAAGAAUAACUUUCUUAGAGCCAAAUGCAGAUAAAUUGAGUGGAGAGAUCUACACCUGCACUUUCUGUUUUGUUGACUGAUUCGGCCUUUCUAAAUUUCCUUCAUGGUUGAGGCAAUUUGCAAGAUAAUUUCUGAGGUGGUGGUGGGGGCCCCUUGUUCCACAAUUUCCAUGUUUGUUUCCCCCUGAUUCUAAGUUGAAGUUUAGAGUAACUGUGGUUGAGUGGGUUGUAUUUGUCUUGAAAUUCGCAAUCUGAGAUGUAAUCUGGCAAAAUAAAUACUAGAUUUAGGUAGGUGGUGAACUCAUAGCAGCUGCUAAUAAGGACUCUUGCGUUCUUUUCAGUCAACUUUUAUGUGAGGCAUUAUGGAAAACUGUCUUGAGUCUCACUGGACUUCAUUUCCUGUUUGACUAUAAACUAGACAAUUAAUUUUCCACUUGGUGAAUAGAAAAAUAUACAGGGGAAAAAUAAUUUGGAUCUAGUAUUUGCCUCAUUUCCACUGAGAAAGCACUCCUUUGGCUAGCUUUGGGGAUUUGAUGAAUGGACAAUCUAGAGAGUUGCUGUGUUCUUAAAACAUUGGAUUCAAUUUAGAAUGCUGAGAUUUGAGUGAUCUUAUGUGCUGUUGGUGGUGCUUAUGCCAAUGUAAGGGAAAUAUGAUGCAGUGUUAGGAAUAGAAUUGAGAUGUGAAUAUGCAAUAGGAUUAUAUUUUGGGAGUAUGUGUGUGGAGCAAUAUGGCUCUGAUUGUGCUGACUUCGAAUGUAGGAGGUUGUUCAAGGAAAACAGGUUUUUGUUAUGUGUUUGUCAGGGUGAAUUGAAGAGACACAAGACUCUGUUGUCAUUCUUUCCUGUAGGAUUCAGCUGCAUAACCCCUGAUCUUAGUACUAGUACUGUGCUUCUCAUUCUACUCCAGUACACAGAGUUCGAGAUUUAGAUCUGAAUCUGUUGAUGUAUGAUAUGUCAAAAUCUUGAAGCAAUUGUCUUGAAAAGGAUUAGUGAUUAUAUGCGUUGCAUGCUGAAACUUCAAUAAGUAAAUUUAUACUCUGAAGAUCAUAAAGCAAAUGAAGCAAAUAUAUAAAAUAUAGCAAUGAUUCAAUUGUUAUACAGUUUCAAAAGAUCCAUCUAAAUAAUUAAAUCUAUAGAAUAUAGCAAAGUAUCCAUCUUGAAACAGGAAAAAACACAACCCCUUGUGCAAUCAAACUGCACAAUAGUGUUUGAAUGGAAACUAACCAUUCUGAAGCUCAAAUUGAUUGUACUGCCAUGUUUAUAUUGAUUAUUGUGAGCUAUAAUUGAUUAUGUAAGGAUGUUGGUGGCUGAUAAAAAAUUGAAAUGAAGCCUUAGAGUUGAAGGAGAGUUUUGGAAACUUUUACAAAUCUGUUUUGAAUGGGAAAGAAUAUUAAUUUUGUUUUUCUUAUUAUUAGUGGGAAAUCUUUGUUGGAUUUUUUUUUUUUUCUUUUCCUGAAAUUUUCAAUGUCUUUGUAGGGUAACUUCAUCCGAAGAAUCUUUUAUUGCUAUUCUGGAUUUUAAUUGCAGUAUAGGUAGGAUGCCCAAACUCAGACCCAAGUCCCCACUUGUCAGCAUUGUGAUGGACUCCAGCACAAUUAGUAUAGCAGGGGAAGGACAAUGGGAGCCUCUUGGCACCUUGAAUUUGCAUUUGGUCAAGUUUCAGUCAACAAUUUUUGCAGGCUGAUAUUUGACCAUCUGAGCAUGCAUUUGGUUUGUAACACAAGAUAUUGUACUGUUGACCAGCUGAGUAGGUAAUUGGUAAAGAGCACAUCCCUGGUAAUCCCACUGUUUAUUCCUUAUUUUAUGCAAGGCAUUUUCUGUUAGUCCAGGGUCGAGGCUGCUUCUCAUUCCCCUGCUUUUGUUUCCUUGAAAAUGGCUUUGUUCCUAUGGACCAUUCUGCUUUCUUGUAUUAUCAAGUGCAAUCUGCAUUCUUGUAUUAGAAGAAUGAGGACAUUAAGGAACUGAAGCACCACAAUAAGAUGUCAUGUUCCCCUUUAGUUUCUAGAUGUGCCUCAGCUGUUAGUCUCUUUAUGCUAUGCAUAUUCAUAUUGUUCCCACCCUCUUUGGGCCUCUCACUCAGAAAUUUGCUCAUUAUCUGCCAAACUCCUCCAACCCCCAAGAUGAGAAUUUCAGUUUUCUACAUCCUGAAAUCAUAAGGCACUGAGUUAUGCAAACUAGGGGGAAGAGAGCUGUAUAUGGUUAAAUGCUGAAAAGCUGUGCUUGUUUUGGGUAGCAUAACUAGAACUAAAACAAAGCAAAUAGCAUCUUCUUUUCAAUAGCCCCCACUAGUCUUUUCAAGUGUUUACAUACCUACAUUUUGAUUUGCCUUGGCAUUUGAAUGGCAUAACAAAGCUGCUGAUGCUGCCCCUUCAUGACCAUUAACAUAAACCCUUGCGAGCUACACUUGCUAUUCUUUCUGCUAAUUUCUAGUUUCAAAUGCAACAAAAGGUCAAAAUAGGUCUGUAUGAUUUGCUGGAUAUUAGAGAAGCCAUGUAGUUGAUUUGCUCAAUUGUGUCUUUAUCCGUUGAAGAAAUACAGUUUCUAACAAGAUGAAUUAUAUCUUCACGAACUUACAACACUAGAUGAGCCUUAAGAUUUCGAGAACUCCUCUGUUAAGCACUGGAAAUACACUAAUUAAUUGUAUGAACGUAUUUUUUUUUAGAAAUUUGUUAGUUGGGGGGAUCGCAGAUCGAUUAGGAAAAGAUGUUUUCAGCAUUUCUACUGUGCUUUAUUUUUUAAGCUUAUAGAAGUAUUUUAAAGCUACUGGGAUUUUGAACAUAUGAGAGGAGUUUUAGAUUAAAAAUAAAUUAACUAUUUUAACUUAAUAUUUAAAAUUAUUUUUAUUUUAAAUUAUAAUAUUAAGUUUUUUUACCAAUCGCAGUUAAUAUAUUUAAUGACUUAAAUUAAGUCAUUAAACCAUUAAGUUGAUUUACCAAACAAUUCACUAAAUGUCACAAAACCAUACCAAAAACAAGCAUUCCACACUAUGUGUAAUGAGAAAGCAUAAAUUGCCUGAUCAUUAGCUUCCAUACACUCUCAUUGC
rnacentral:lncRNA from 1 species